rnacentral:rRNA from 1 species
GAUUACCCCUCGUACCUUUUGCAUCAUGAAUUAGUCAGUAACACUUAAGCAAAGUCUAUUUUAGUUUAAAACCCCGAAACUAAGUGAGCUACUCCAAGCCCGCCUAUAAAUUUAGGGCUAACCCGUCUCUGUAGCAAAAGAGUGGGGAGAGCUUCGAGUAGCGGUGACAGACCUAUCGAACUUAGUUAUAGCUGGUUGCCAGGAAAAUGGAUAUAAGUUCAGCCUUUAGGAUUCUCGAUUCAACCAGGCCCUUACUUCUCCGCCCGUUACAAAAGAAGCCUAAAGAGUUAGUCAAAGGGGGUACAGCCCUUUUGAACCAAGAAACAACUUUCUAAGAAGGAUAAAGAUCACAUUAAGCAAGGACAUACAUCGAGGUGGGCUUGAAAGCAGCCACCCCUAAGGAAAGCGUUAAAGCUCAGAUUCCCGCACACCCCUACAAUCCCGAUAAUUUCAUCUUACUCCCCUUUUUUUACCUGGCCGUUUCAUACGCCCUAUGAAAGUGACCCUGCUAGUAUGAGUAAUAAGAGGACAUGACCCUCUCCCCGCACAAG